UACGUAGGGUGCAAGCGUUGUCCGGAAUUAUUGGGCGUAAAGGGCUCGUAGGCGGUUUGUCGCGUCGGGAGUGAAAUCCACUGGCUUAACUGGUGGCUUGCUUUCGAUACGGGCAGACUGGAGGUAUGCAGGGGAGAACGGAAUUCCUGGUGUAGCGGUGAAAUGCGCAGAUAUCAGGAGGAAUACCGAUGGCGAAGGCAGGUCUCUGGGCUGACACUGACGCUCAUGCACGAAAGCGUGGGGAGCAAACAGG
rnacentral:rRNA from 1 species